rnacentral:rRNA from 1 species
GAUGAACGCUAGCUACAGGCUUCCUACAUGCAAGUCGAGGGGAAACGACAUCAAAAGCUUGCUUUUGAUGGGCGUCGACCGGCGCACGGGUGAGUAACGCGUAUCCAACCUGCCCACCACUUGGGGAUAACCUUGCGAAAGUAAAACUAAUACCCAAUGAUAUCUCUAGAAAACAUCUGAAAAAAAUUAAAGAUUUAUCGGUGAUGGAUGGGGAUGCGUCUGAUUAGCUUGUUGGCGGGGUAACGGCCCACCAAGGCAACGAUCAGUAGGGGUUCUGAGAGGAAGGUCCCCCACAUUGAAACUGAGACACGGUCCAAACUCCUACGGGAGGCAGCAGUGGGAAAUCUUCCACAAUGGACAAAAGUCUGAUGGAGCACCGCCGCGUGAGUGAAAAAGGGUUUCGGCUCGUAAAGCUCUGUUGUCGGGAACAAAUGUGCAGUAUUUGAAUAAAGUAGUGCAAUGACGGUACCUGACAAGGAAGCCACGGCUAACUACGUG